rnacentral:lncRNA from 1 species
CGUCUCCUUCUGGGUCUCUGGUGCAGACGCCUUCUUUACCAUGGUGGAUCUAAGUCCCCCAGAGUGUUUACUGGAGAGGCCCUAUUCUUAACUGACUGCCGGCCUGCCAGGCUUUGUGAGACAACUCAAAGAAGAUACUCUUCUAGUCACACCAUAGGAUCCAUACCACCUACCUACCUCUGUGGAGAGAUUUCAGAGCAAGGGGCUCAGGGCAGCCACAGUUCCUUCAAGGGGUCAGCAGCAUCAGUCCAGAGGCACAGACCGCACAAAGGGAGAGUCCCCUCCAAGAAUUCCUCUCCCAGUCCCCAGUGUGGAUGCGUGAGCCCAGAUGAACCGCUGCCAACUGCUCCAUCGGUGGAGAACCAGGUAAGCAGACGGCAGGACCUCAGAAGGACAACAGUCCCAUCUGCAUUGCCAGAUUUGUAACCCAAGUAACAAGAGUUUGCUCCUUGGUGUGUCCCAGAUAGAAACUACAUCAGGUGGAGUUGUUGCACAAAGAGGGUCAUGGCGAGUGACUUCCAAAACCUGACUGCCCGAGCAAGGGUAAAUGGGUUCCUCUGUUUAGGAAUAGGAUGAAUAUUUAGAUAGGGAAGCCUCGUCCGCCACAGCUCACACACACACACACACACACACACACACACACACACACACACUCUCACUCUCUCACUCUCGCACGCGCACGUACUUUCACUUUAAUAAACUUUCCCACUGUGUUGUGUCUGUCCUUGAGUUCUUUCUUGUGAUGAGACCAAGAACCUUGGUGACAUCUUUGGGAGGGCUCUGGGGUCAAGGCUCCAUGGCCCAGGAUCCCCAGUUCACCCAGCAGCAAUUUCUAUAUACCCCAUGUUAAUUUUCCCUAUUUCUAACAUCUUAUGUAAGUGUGGUACAUUUGUCCCAAUUAGUAAGCCAAUAAAGUCUGUAUUUUCUCAUAUUUUUCUCAGUUUUUCUGUACGUUAUUUGUUCUGUGUUCCUUUCUAGGAUACUGUACUACAUUUAGUAGUCUUAUCUGCUUAAGAGCAUCAUGGCUGUGAUCAGUUCAAACUCUCACUUCCUAAUUAAUUUCCUUCCUGUUACUCUAUCUCAGUUCUCUAGGCUAUUUAUCUAUCAGUAUGGUAAAAUACAUAUUCUUCCCAACUCUAUGCAGUGACAUCAUGUGGGUAGUUUGAAAUUGGCCAUGGCGGAGUAUUUAUGCAUCCCAAAUUGGCAAAAAAGUCACAGCUUUUUUAAAAAAAUUAUUUAUUUAUUUUUUUUGAGAGCCUGUUAUCGAUAUUUUCCUCUGUUGGCACUACGUCUACGUGGCCGUCUCUUUUCAGGAGCCAAUAGGACAGUGUCCCAUAGGAAGGCAUUUUACCCACUGGUGUACAGAGUAUUUGUAGGCAGGUAAAUCCAGGAGCUGUAGGGGAGGCAAGAUGUAGGGGAGUCAUUUAUGACAUCUCUGUUUUGUUAUUUCUCAGUGUAUCUGCACAGGACUCUAUGCUUUUGUAAGAACGGCAGAAAAUGGACAAAUCCCCAGGUGAGUUGUUUUUUAUUAUUAUUUCCUGCUUUGUUUACAUUA